rnacentral:tRNA from 1 species
GGCGCUGUGGCUAAGUGGGUAAAGCUGUUGCCUGUAGUGCCAGCAUCACAUACGGAUGGGCACGGGUUCGAGUCCUGGCUGCUCCU